UGUGGGAGCGAGCUUGCUCGCGAUUGCGUCGGGUCAGUCAUUGUUGAUUUUGAAUGGACUGCCCUCAUCGCGAGCAAGCUCGCUCCCACA
rnacentral:misc_RNA from 1 species